UGGGUCUCGCUCGUUACCUGACUUAACAGGACACCUCACGGCACGAGCUGGCGACGGCCAUGCACCUCCUCUCAGCUUGUCUGGUAAAGUCUUCAGCUUGACCUUCACUCUGCUGUCGCCCCCGGUAAGAUUUCCGGCGUUGACUCCAAUUGAACCGCAGGCUUCACCCCUUGUGGUGCUCCCCCGCCAAUUCCUUUAAGUUUCAGUCUUGCGACCGUACUCCCCAGGCGGCAAACUUAACGGCUUCCCUGCGGCACUGAGUUAGCAAUAAGCCAACUCAUCACCGAGUCUGCAUCGUUUACAGCUGGGACUACCCGGGUAUCUAAUCCGGUUUGCUCCCCCAGCUUUCAUCCCUCACCGUCGAGCGCGUUCUGGCAAGCCGCCUUCGCCACUGGUGGUCUUCAAUGGAUCAACGGAUUUUACCCCUACCCAUCGAGUACCGCUUGCCUCUCCCGCCUCCUAGCUCUAUAGUAUCUUCCGCAGCCCAUCUGUUAAGCAGGUGGAUUUAACGGAAGACUUGUAGAACCGGCUACGGAUGCUUUAGGCCCAAUAAACGUCCCGACCACUCGGGGUGCUGGUAUUACCGCGGCGGCUGACACCAGACUUGCCCACCCCUUAUUCUGCACCAUUUUUAGAGGUGCCAAAAGAUCUCCUUAACGGAAAUCACUCAGAGUAACCCUGUCAAGCUUUCGCCUAUUGCAGAGGUUUCGCGCCUGCUGCGCCCCAUAGGGCCUGGGCCCUUGUCUCAGUGCCCAUCUCCGGGCUCCUCCUCUCAGAGCCCGUACCGGUUACAGGUUUGGUGGGCCAUUACCUCACCAACAGCCUGAUCGGCCGCAGUCCAAUCCAGGGGCCAUAUAGAUUUAAGUCAUUACCCAUUCCAGAAGUGAUGGCCUAUCGCGGUUUAUCCUCAGUUUCCCGAGGUUAUCCACGUCCCCUGGGCAUGUUGACUACGUGUUACUGAGCCGUAUGCCACAUAUUGCUAUGUUGACUCGCAUGGCUUAGUCCCACUCUGAUAGCAGUCGGGUCCGGCAGGAUCAACCGGA
rnacentral:rRNA from 1 species